AUGGCGCCCUCCAGCCUGCUGUGGGCACUGGUGGCCUUCACCUGCUUUGGAUCCAGUGUGGCCCAGAAAGUUACUCAGGACCAGCCAACUACAGCUAAACAAGAGGGAUCAUCAGUCACCCUCAACUGUCAGUAUGAAACAAGUUCAAGUGACUACUAUCUUUAUUGGUAUAAGCAGCUUCCUGAUGGAAAGAUCACAUUCAUUAUUCAUCGCCAUUCAUCUGCCGGCAACAAAGCAAAAAAUGGUCGCUAUUCUAUAGACUUCCAGAAAGCAAAGAAAGCCAUCUCCCUCACCAUUUCACCCUUGCAAUGGGAAGAUUCAGCCAAGUAUUUCUGUGCUCUCAGUGAUACACUGUGUUUGAAGUGA